rnacentral:miRNA from 1 species
GAAAAUUCAUAUUCAAAUGUGCUCAUAAAUUUGCCAUUUUCUGUUUUUUUUUUUUUAGUUUGAUGUUGCACUACUGGAGAAAUAAUCUCAAAAAAAAAAAAAGAACAAUUCAAUAAUGUAUUGGCAACAUCAAACUAAAACAAAAAUGAAAUAGGCAAAUUUGUGGGCACAUUUGAAUUUGAUUUUUU